GCCGGUCUAGCUCAAUUGGUAGAGCAACUGACUUGUAAUCACUAGGUUGGGGGUUCAAGUCCUCUGGCCGGCA
rnacentral:tRNA from 1 species